UCCUCGAUAGCUCAAUGGUAGAGCCCGCGGCUGUUAACCGCGUUGUUGUAGGUUCGAGUCCUACUCGAGGAGCCA
rnacentral:tRNA from 12 species